CACGAUCUACUAGAUACUUGAAUACACACACACACACACACACACACACACAGAGUCACGCACGAACAGAGAUCACAUCAAAUGGGAAGCAGGAACUCGUUCAACUACUUACUUUUUUUGUUUAAACAGAGGGAGAGUUGAAUUGAAGACUAUGGAAACUGCUUUUACAGGUAUUUUAGGUCGAAUUCAGUUGAUUUACCGUUUCUAAUUGCCAUGUAAUUAUGUGUUUACAAAUAAAUUUUCUAAUAUGUAAUUUUCAAGUAAAAACGAAUGGCCAGAAAUGUCUGUUAUAAAGGAGGGUUUCCGUUUUGUUAAGCAAGAGGGUAUUCUUGCUGAUGAGAUAGUAAAUGACAAUCUUGACCUUCUUAUGAUCCCUCAGUAUGGAAGGAACCCUGACAAGACUGGUUAAUGAUUUAUAUUUGAAUUGUUUUCAGUUGAGUAAUGUUAUGUUUAUAUAAGUUUGUAUUUCGUAUGUACAAAGUAAUAAUGUUGGCACUCUAAAAUGUCCUUUUAUAUCACUUCGUAAGUAGGUAUGGAAAUACAAACUCUAUAAGUAUGGUGUUAUCCUUUUUUUAUAUUUAAUAUAUAAAAGGACAUGCACUGUUGUCAGUCCAUUGUGUGAGUGUUUGUUUUAGUUCAAUUAAUUAAUAAGAUCUUCUGAGAUACUUGGGAGAUUCUAGCUAUUUGAUAUGUACUUUGAUUUCUU
rnacentral:lncRNA from 1 species